rnacentral:rRNA from 1 species
GACGAACGCUGGCGGCGUGCUUAACACAUGCAAGUCGAACGGAAAGGCACUGAUUUUGUGGGGUUCUCGAGUGCCGAAGGGGGGAGUAACACGUGUGUAACCUGCCCUUGAAUUUGGGGUAACUUCACGAAACUGCGGCUAAUACAGGGUAGGAGCUCCGGCUGCAUGGGGGGCGUAGGAAAGUUUCGGCGGUUUGGGCUGGACUCGCGGCUUAUCAGCUUGAUGGUGGAGUAGUUGAGUACCAGGCGUUUGAAGGGUAGCCGGCAUGAGAGGGUGACCGGCCACAUGGGGACUGAGAUACGGCCCAGACUGCUAUGUGCGGCAGCAGUCGGGAAUAUUGCACAAUGGGCGGACGCCAGAGGCAGCAACGCCGCGUUCGGGAUGACGGCCUUCGGGUUGUAAACCGCUUUGGCCGGUGACGAAGCGGGAGUGACGGUAAUGGGUAAAGAAGCACCGGCUAACUACGUG